AGUGAACGCUGGCGGUAGGCCUAACACAUGCAAGUCGAACGGCAGCACAGUAAGAGCUUGCUCUUACGGGUGGCGAGUGGCGGACGGGUGAGGAAUACAUCGGAAUCUGCUUUUUCGUGGGGGAUAACGUAGGGAAACUUACGCUAAUACCGCAUACGACCUACGGGUGAAAGCAGGGGAUCUUCGGACCUUGCGCGAUUGAAUGAGCCGAUGUCGGAUUAGCUAGUUGGCGGGGCAAAGGCCCACCGAGGCGACGAUCCGUAGCUGGUCUGAGAGGAUGAUCAGCCACACUGGAACUGAGACACGGUCCAGACUCCUACGGGAGGCAGCAGUGGGGAAUAUUGGACAAUGGGCGCAAGCCUGAUCCAGCCAUACCGCGUGGGUGAAGAAGGCCUUCGGGUUGUAAAGCCCUUUUGUUGGGAAAGAAAAGCAGCAGGUUAAUACCCCGCUGUUCUGACGGUACCCAAAGAAUAAGCACCGGCUAACUUCGUG
rnacentral:rRNA from 1 species